GGAAGAGUGGCAGAGUGGCCGAAUGCAUCGGUUUCGAAAACCGAAGUCCUCGUAAGAGGACCGGGGGUUCAAAUCCCUCCUCUUCCG
rnacentral:tRNA from 1 species